rnacentral:sRNA from 1 species
GGGUUACCAAAAUUGUCAUUUGAAUCCCCCCAUAGACAUCCCUUGACCGGGGGUUUUU